rnacentral:rRNA from 1 species
UACGGAGGAUCCAAGCGUUAUCCGGAUUUAUUGGGUUUAAAGGGUGCGUAGGCGGCGUUGUAAGUCAGUGGUGAAAGUUUUCAGCUUAACUGGAAAAUUGCCAUUGAUACUGCAGUGCUUGAGUACAGAUGAGGUAGGCGGAAUUGACGGUGUAGCGGUGAAAUGCUUAGAUAUCGUCAAGAACACCUAUAGCGAAGGCAGCUUACUAGGCUGUAACUGACGCUGAGGCACGAAAGUGUGGGGAUCAAACAGG